GAUGAACGCUGGCGGCAUGCCUAAUACAUGCAAGUCGAGCGAACAGAUGAGAAGCUUGCUUCUCUGAUGUUAGCGGCGGACGGGUGAGUAACACGUGGGUAACCUACCUAUAAGACUGGGAUAACUCCGGGAAACCGGGGCUAAUACCGGAUAAUAUUUUGAACCGCAUGGUUCAAUAGUGAAAGACGGCUUCUGCGGUCACUUAUAGAUGGACCCGAGCCGUAUUAGCUAGUUGGUAAGGUAACGGCUUACCAAGGCUACGAUACGUAGCCGAACUGAGCGGGUGAUCGGCCACACUGGCACUGAGACACGGUACAGACUCCUACGGGAGGCAGCAGUAGGGAAUCUUCCGCAAUGGUCGAACGCCUGACGGAGCAACGCCGCGUGAGUGAUGAAGGUCUUCGGAUCGUAAAACUCUGUUGCUAGGGAAGAACAAAUUUGUUAGUAACUGAACAAGUCUUGACGGUACCCAACCAGAAAGCCACGGCUAACUACGUGCCAGCCGCCGCCGUAA
rnacentral:rRNA from 1 species